CUGCGGCUGGACACGGAGCGCCCGAGAUGAUGGUGCUGGACAAGGAGGACGGCGUGCCGAUGCUCUCCGUCCAGCCCAAAGGGAAGCAGAAGGGCUGUGCGGGCUGUAACCGCAAGAUCAAGGACCGCUAUCUGCUGAAGGCAUUGGACAAGUACUGGCAUGAAGACUGCCUCAAGUGUGCCUGCUGUGACUGCCGCCUGGGCGAGGUGGGCUCCACCCUCUACACCAAGGCCAACCUCAUCCUGUGCCGACGCGACUACCUGAGGCUCUUUGGCACCACAGGGAACUGUGCUGCUUGCAGCAAGCUGAUCCCAGCCUUCGAGAUGGUGAUGCGGGCUCGGGACAACGUGUAUCACCUCGACUGCUUCGCCUGCCAGCUCUGCAACCAGAGGUCAGUGCUGGACUGGCUGACCCAACACACUCCCCAGACGCCAGCCUGAGGCCUGCUGGGAUGGGCCAGGAGCACGGGGGAGGCGUGCAAGCAAAUGAGGGUUGCGUGUGUGUAUGUGGUGAUUUUGUGUGGGAGACAAAUUCUUCCUGAAGAACAACAUGAUCUUGUGUCAGAUGGACUAUGAGGAGGGGCAGCUCAAUGGCACCUUUGAAUCCCAAGUUCAGUAACGCCCGGCGCCUGGCCUCCAGGCCCGUCUGUCCAUCUGCCCGCCUGCCCACCCGCCUGGCCGGCCAGCCAGCCACUCUACCAGUGCAGGCUGGCCAGCCGCUCUCCUGCCACAUUAGAACUUCUCCGUCCUCGAUGGGAGGGAUGGCCCUUCCUCCUCCACCACCGC
rnacentral:sRNA from 1 species